AUGGCAGGAGGUUUGGUGUCCUCAGAACCCUCCAGCCUGGAGCAUUUGCUGUCCCAGCCCAGGGGGGGCGAGGUCGCCGUGAUCGCCCUGGGGGGACCCCCCGAGUCCCUGGAGGCGCAGCCAGGGGCGCUCAGGCUGCAGCUGCUCAGCAGGAUGGGAUUCGUCAGGAUUGGCCUCAAAUUUGGGUCUUUUGCCAGGUGUCCUGGCACCACCACCUGGGCUGCAAUAUCCCUGGGGCUGUGCAGUUUUGCUGCACGCUCUCAUUGUACAGCUUACCAAAACGCUUCUCACCAGUGGGGACCCCACCAAGCACGUGUGAAAGGGAUCACCAGGGGCUGUCAUAGAGAUGCACACAGGAUCAGUGUGAGCAGCAUUUGCAGGGUGAUCCAUACGUUUGUGCCAGCCAGUGUAGGGGGUAAGACACUUGCAGUGCUUUCAUCAAUCAGGAUGAUGCAACAAAUGGUUGCACACACUGUGAAGUAACCCAUUUCACAUGGUGACCUGUGGAGACACAAGCAUAAUCACUUUCCCCACAUUAACAAGUCCACAGGUCCUGCCCACUGCCCUGUUACUGGGUCCUUUACCAUCACCAGAGCCAGGGACAAGCCUUUGUAUCAAAAGAAUAUUGCCUUUCACUUGCUGUUUGGCCAGCUUCAUCUCGAUUCAGAAAACUGAGAACAUACAGGGCUUUUGCUAACCUGUCAGUGUGGGCACUCCAACUCCCCCUUCUUCUGUUUUUCAAGCAUGGUUUUUAAUGUUCUGUGGGCAUGUUCAACAUAGUGAGAUACACCAGUGGGAUAAUGAGGGAUACCUGUGUUGUGGGAGACAUCCCAUUGUUGCAAGAACUGGGGAUUCUGUUCAGAAGCAUAGCAGGGCCUUUGUCUGAUUUAACAGUGUCUGGAAGGCCCAAAGCAUGUGAGCCAAUGCUGAGUAACAUCAUGAGCCUUUUAUCCUGUGUGGGGUUGCAAUUAAAACACAUGAGAAAGUGUCAACAGUUACAUGAACUUCUUAUAAACUACCAGAUUCUGCAGCAUGACUAACACCAGUUUGCCAGGUAGAAUUGGCAGUCAGACCUCGAGGACUGACAUUUUCUGCCAAAGGAGCAGGAGCAACUCCACAGCAAGAGGGACAUGAAAGCAGAAUGUCAUGAGCUUGCAAGGAGGUUAAUUGAAAUUGCUUCUGUAGAGAGGGUUCAUUUUGGUGAAAAAAGUAAAGAGAUAGCUUAGCCUGAGCAAACUUCUUAGGUACAACAUUUGUCAUGGUAGUGAGAUCUGCUCAAUUAUUACCUUCCACAAUAGAUCUGGGUAAACGUGUAGAAGAACGAACAUGUAGCACACAAAAGCCAUCAGUUGUUAAUCAAAAGCCAUAGCUUUCACAACUCUAAAU
rnacentral:lncRNA from 1 species